GGAGUUCGACCGCAAGGUUAAAACUCAAAUGAAUUGACGGGGACCCGCCCAAGUAGUGGAGCAUGUGGUUUAAUUCGAAGAUACGCGCAGAACCUUACCAACACUUGACAUGUUCGUCGCGACUCUAAGAGAUUAGAGUUUUCGGUUCGGCCGGACGAAACACAGGUGCUGCAUGGCUGUCGUCAGCUCGUGUCGUGAGAUGUUGGGUUAAGUCCCGCAACGAGCGCAACCCUCACUUUUAGUUGCCAUCAUUUAGUUGGGCACUCUGAAAGAACUGCCAGUGAUAAGCUGGAGGAAGGUGGGGAUGACGUCAAGUCCUCAUGGCCCUUACGUGUUGGGCUACACACGUGCUACAAUGGUAUCUACAACAGGAAGCAAGACUGCGAGGUCAAGCAAAUCCUUAAAAGAUACCUCAGUUCGGAUUGCACUCUGCAACUCGAGUGCAUGAAGCUGGAAUUACUAGUAAUCGUGGAUCAGCGUGCCACGGUGAAUGCGUUCCCGGGUCUU
rnacentral:rRNA from 1 species